UAGAGGAGAUUAAUAUUAUUGCAAAUAAGAAAGAAAUAGGAUAAGAAUGGAUUAUUAUGGAAGGUAGUUUAGGUCUUUUUUAUAAUUGAUAUGCCUUGGAUGCAUUGAA